GUGGGGAAUUUUGGACAAUGGGCGCAAGCCUGAUCCAGCAAUGCCGCGUGCAGGAAGAAGGCCUUCGGGUUGUAAACUGCUUUUGUACGGAACGAAACGGUCCUGGUUAAUACCUGGGGCUAAUGACGGUACCGUAAGAAUAAGCACCGGCUAACUACGUGCCAGCAGCCGCGGUAAUACGUAGGGUGCGAGCGUUAAUCGGAAUUACUGGGCGUAAAGCGUGCGCAGGCGGUGCUGUGAGACAGGCGUGAAAUCCCCGGGCUCAACCUGGGAAUUGCGCUUGUGACUGCAGUGCUGGAGUACGGCAGAGGGGGAUGGAAUUCCGCGUGUAGCAGUGAAAUGCGUAGAUAUGCGGAGGAACACCGAUGGCGAAGGCAGUCCCCUGGGCCUGUACUGACGCUCAUGCACGAAAGCGUGGGGAGCAAACAGGAUUAGAUACCCGAGUAGUCC
rnacentral:rRNA from 1 species